rnacentral:rRNA from 1 species
GGUUAAGCGACUAAGCGUACACGGUGGAUGCCCCGGCAGUCAGAGGCGAUGAAGGGCGUGCUAAUCUGCGAUAAGCGCCGGUAAGGUGAUAUGAACCGUUAUAACCGGCGAUACCCGAAUGGGGAAACCCAGUGUGAUUCGUCACACUAUCAUUAACUGAAUCCAUAGGUUAAUGAGGCGAACCGGGGAACUGAAACAUCUAAGUACCCCGAGGAAAAGAAAUCAACCGAGAUUCCCCAGUAGCGGCGAGCGAACGGGGAGGAGCCCAGAGCCUGAAUCAGCAUGUGUGUUAGUGGAAGCGUCUGGAAAGGCGCGCGAUACAGGGUGACAGCCCCGUACACAAAAGCGCAUGUGCUGUGAGCUCGAUGAGUAGGGCGGGACACGUGGUAUCCUGUCUGAAUAUGGGGGACCAUCCUCCAAGGCUAAAUACUCCUGACUGACCGAUAGUGAACCAGUACCGUGAGGGAAAGGCGAAAAGAACCCCGGCGAGGGAGUGAAAAGAACCUGAAACCGUGUACGUACAAGCAGUGGGAGCACAGGUUUACCUGUGUGACUGCGUACCUUUUGUAUAAUGGGUCAGCGACUUAUAUUCUGUAGCAAGGUUAACCGUAUAGGGAGCCGUAGGAAACCGAGUCUUAACCGGGCGUUAAGUUGCAGGGUAUAGACCCGAAACCCGGUGAUCUAGCCAUGGGCAGGUUGAAGGUUGGGUAACACUAACUGGAGGACCGAACCGACUAAUGUUGAAAAAUUAGCGGAUGACCUGUGGCUGGGGUGAAAGGCCAAUCAAACCGGGAGAUAGCUGGUUCUCCCCGAAAGCUAUUUAGGUAGCGCCUCGUGAAUUCAUCUCCGGGGUAGAGCACUGUUUCGGCUAGGGGCCAUCCCGGCUUACCAACCCGAUGCAAACUGCGAAUACCGGAGAAUGUUAUCACGGGAGACACACGGCGGGUGCUAACGUCCGUCGUGAAGAGGGAAACAACCCAGACCGCCAGCUAAGGUCCCAAAGUCAUGGUUAAGUGGGAAACGAUGUGGGAAGGCCCAGACAGCGGGAUGUUGGCUUAGAAGCAGCCAUCAUUUAAAGAAAGCGUAAUAGCUCACUGGUCGAGUCGGCCUGCGCGGAAGAUGUAACGGGGCUAAACCAUGCACCGAAGCUGCGGCAGCGACACUGUGUGUUGUUGGGUAGGGGAGCGUUCUGUAAGCCUGUGAAGGUGGCCUGUGAGGGUUGCUGGAGGUAUCAGAAGUGCGAAUGCUGACAUAAGUAACGAUAAAGCGGGUGAAAAGCCCGCUCGCCGGAAGACCAAGGGUUCCUGUCCAACGUUAAUCGGGGCAGGGUGAGUCGACCCUAAGGCGAGGCCGAAAGGCGUAGUCGAUGGGAAACGGGUUAAUAUUCCCGUACUUGGUGUUACUGCGAAGGGGGACGGAGAAGGCUAUGUUGGCCGGGCGACGGUUGUCCCGGUUUAAGCGUGUAGGUGUGUGUUCGGUAAAUCCGGUUCACUUUAACACUGAGGCGUGACGACGAGGCACUACGGUGCUGAAGCAACAAAUGCCCUGCUUCGGGAAAAGCCUCUAAGCAUCAGGUAACAUCAAAUCGUACCCCAAACCGACACAGGUGGUCAGGUAGAGAAUACCAAGGCGCUUGAGAGAACUCGGGUGAAGGAACUAGGCAAAAUGGUGCCGUAACUUCGGGAGAAGGCACGCUGACACGUAGGUGAAGUGAUUUACUCAUGGAGCUGAAGUCAGUCGAAGAUACCAGCUGGCUGCAACUGUUUAUUAAAAACACAGCACUGUGCAAACACGAAAGUGGACGUAUACGGUGUGACGCCUGCCCGGUGCCGGAAGGUUAAUUGAUGGGGUCAGCGCAAGCGAAGCUCCUGAUCGAAGCCCCGGUAAACGGCGGCCGUAACUAUAACGGUCCUAAGGUAGCGAAAUUCCUUGUCGGGUAAGUUCCGACCUGCACGAAUGGCGUAAUGAUGGCGGGCUGUCUCCACCCGAGACUCAGUGAAAUUGAACUCGCUGUGAAGAUGCAGUGUACCCGCGGCAAGACGGAAAGACCCCGUGAACCUUUACUAUAGCUUGACACUGAACAUUGAGCCUUGAUGUGUAGGAUAGGUGGGAGGCUUUGAAGCGUGGACGCCAGUCUGCGUGGAGCCAACCUUGAAAUACCACCCUUUAAUGUUUGAUGUUCUAACGUGGACCCGUAAUCCGGGUUGCGGACAGUGUCUGGUGGGUAGUUUGACUGGGGCGGUCUCCUCCUAAAGAGUAACGGAGGAGCACGAAGGUUGGCUAAUCUGGUCGGACAUCAGGAGGUUAGUGCAAUGGCAUAAGCCAGCUUGACUGCGAGCGUGACGGCGCGAGCAGGUGCGAAAGCAGGUCAUAGUGAUCCGGUGGUUCUGAAUGGAAGGGCCAUCGCUCAACGGAUAAAAGGUACUCCGGGGAUAACAGGCUGAUACCGCCCAAGAGUUCAUAUCGACGGCGGUGUUUGGCACCUCGAUGUCGGCUCAUCACAUCCUGGGGCUGAAGUAGGUCCCAAGGGUAUGGCUGUUCGCCAUUUAAAGUGGUACGCGAGCUGGGUUUAGAACGUCGUGAGACAGUUCGGUCCCUAUCUGCCGUGGGCGCUGGAGAACUGAGGGGGCUGCUCCUAGUACGAGAGGACCGGAGUGGACGCAUCACUGGUGUUCGGGUUGUCAUGCCAAUGGCACUGCCCGGUAGCUAAAUGCGGAAGAGAUAAGUGCUGAAAGCAUCUAAGCACGAAACUUGCCCCGAGAUGAGUUCUCCUGAGACUUAGAGUCUCCUGAAGGAACGUUGAAGACGACGACGUUGAUAGGCCGGGUGUGUAAGCGCAGCGAUGCGUUGAGCUAACCGGUACUAAUGAACCGUGAGGCUUAACCUU